rnacentral:lncRNA from 1 species
CUGGGUACCAAAGGUGGCCAGGCAAAUGCCAGCCUAUUGUGCGGAAUCCAGAGGUGGCACAGCUGUUUAAGGCCUCUGGGCUCCCACAUCCUCCUGAGAUUUCCCAUUCUAGAUUUGCUUAUCCAGGAUGCAACUAUGGAUUUGCAUAUUCGAGCCCCCAGGACAGAGAGCAGGUCUUCUUGGCACAAUCGGCCUCUAAUAGCGCGCACAAAUUCGUUAACGGUAGAAGACAUUGCCAUCCAUCUCCUCCGUGCUUUGAGCACGUUCAUCCACUAGUACUUCCGCC